AAAUUAUAUACUACUCGGUGCAUGUGAGAGGAUUGGAGAGGAGAGAAUAUGAACUGCUCGUCGUCGGUCUCGUCUGUCUUCUAUGUUCCCCGCUGCCAUUUAACCCUUGAUUUCAUCCCUCCCCAAACAACUACUCCAACCACUUCUGCUUCCAAAAUUUCAUUCAAAGUCUCUUCAAAAAGUUCACCAAAAUCAUCACCGUUACCAUUCACCAGAGGAAGAAGAAGAGUUGCACUCGGGUCCACCGCCUUGUCUGUAAUCAUCUUCUCGAAUUCGAUCGUUUCCACUUGCUGGUCAAAACCUGACUUCGUCGAGCUCCCAAAUUCAGGUGGGGUCAAGGUCUUGGAUCUUCGCAUUGGCGAUGGCCAGGUUCCCGUCGACGGCGACCAGGUUGCAAUUCAUUACUAUGGAAGGUUGGCAGCCAAACAAGGAUGGCGAUUUGAUUCAACAUAUGAUCACAAAGAUGAAACUGGUGAACCAAUUCCUUUCAUCUUCCGCCUUGGAUCAGGCAAAGUCAUAUCAGGUAUUGAAGCAGCAGUAAGAUCAAUGAAAGUCGGAAGCAUUCGUCGAGUCAUUAUCCCUCCAUCACAAGGAUAUCUGAAUACUUCUCAAGAACCCAUACCACCUAAUGCUUCAGCACUUGUACAGCUUUUUGAUAGGCAAAGGCUGUUUACUACAAUUUUCAACCCAACUCGUCUGGCGAACGGUGAAGGCUCGACAUUGGGGACCGUCAUAUUCGAUAUUGAGUUGGUCAGCCUGAGACGUGACUGAACAUUUUUUUGGCACUGAAGGAAAUCUUAUCUCUGCUGCAAAGCAAGCUCAUCCAAUUGUGAGGCAGCUUCAUAUAUUGCUGGAAUAUACUUAACUCUAAAAUGUAUAGUCCUUCGUUCGUGCUGUUUUUAACUCUUUAUUAAUGGAACGGAAACCUUUGUGCCGUGUUCUUAUUCCAGCUUGAUUUAGAAGUCAGGACUUGUAACGUCACUAACAGAUACUGAACAGUAAUUGUGGUACAAUGUUGAAACUUCAUCAUGCACAGCACAGUGGAGUUGUGUGAGGAGUCUGAGGACGAGUUAUGCCUUCUAUUUAAAUACACACUUGGCGUUCAGCUAAUUAACAGAUCGGCAAAGGGGAAAGUGAGUGAGAAACAUUGCGAAUGUUCGAGAGGUCUAGGGUUUUCUCCAAAUCGUGAUUGCAGCAAGCUGAAGUUUAAAAGGGCAACGAAGCUACGGAUUCACGAAGCGCAGUGCACAGCAAAGUGGUGACAGAAUGGCAGAACCAUAGUGUUACCUUUGAAAUACACCAUGGGGCCCACUUUGAGUUGAAACCACAUGGUAGAGAGCUGAGGGCUUGUCAGUGGUGUUCAUUUAUCAGAAAAGGGGCUGAAACAAUUGAAGGUUAUUUCAUCUACCUAAGAGAUGUGUUUUCCGGACCUGAUAUACCUAAGAGAACUGAGAGAAAUGAGAGUUCUGAAUGAGGGAGUUCUUGGCAUUGGUGGUUUAGGAGGGAAAUUGGGAGCACUACGAUGAUGAUGUCGAUGUCUACUUGUCUGAUAUAGGUAGAACAUUUGAUAAUGAGGCCCCGUUCCAGAACUGAAAAUAAAUACAUAUUUUUUAAGAAGUCAAUUUCAAGCUCAAAAAUAAUGUGUUUAUACAAAUAAUUUUUCUAGCAAUAUGGAUCUUGUUUGAUAGAUCUUAUCGAGAUCUUUUAUACGGUGCAAAAAAAAAAAUUUAUUUACAUUAUUUUUGAGUUUGAAAAUGUGAAAUAAAUACUUAUUUUUUAAGAAAGUGUUCUGGAACGGGGCCGAGUCUGAUAAUGAAACAUGGGACCCGCUGGGGGGUGUUGAGUUGGGAAUGAAAAUGAGAAGAGUUGAUGCAUGAGGAGGGGUUGAUGAAUUAUGGGUCCGGGAGUAUGAGGAAAUGAUGACAUCUUUGACAUUAAUUUGCACGAUAGAGUUGAUGAACAACCGAAGUCUACUGUAGCUGUUGAUACUGGUAGUGGUGGUGCCUGAAUCUGAGAAAGUGAGAAUGAUGAAGACCUCACUCGUCUAAAGGGUCUGAUAAUGAAGGAUGGAAUGAAAACCCACUGUUCAGUGUGAAGGUACACAUGAAAGAUCAUAAUCUUAUUGCUAAUAUGAAGUUCCCAUGUCAGAUCGAUGCCUAUGUUAGGCAUGUUCAUACAGGACUUUGUCACGGCUAUAAUUGAGCUCCCGCUACUCAACAUAGAAUUAGUUCACUAGAUCAGUCGGUUCAUUGGAUUGGAUACCGGACAUUAAAAAAAUUAUAAUCAUAACGUUAAUUUCGUUGUACUAGUUAUGCUCUUUCAUUUUCAACUAAA